rnacentral:rRNA from 1 species
CACGUAGGGGGCGAGCGUUGUCCGGAUUUACUGGGCGUAAAGGGCGGGUAGGCGGCCACCGCAAGUCAGUUGUGAAAUCUCUGGGCUUAACCCAGAAAGGUCAACUGAUACUGCGGGGCUAGAGUGCAGAAGGGGCAACUGGAAUUCUCGGUGUAGCGGUGAAAUGCGUAGAUAUCGAGAGGAACACCUGCGGCGAAGGCGGGUUGCUGGGCUGACACUGACGCUGAACUGCGAAAGCUAGGGGAGCGAACGGG